UAUGAACCUCCGCAGACACAACAAGACACCAGAUAAAAGGAAGCUAUUGAUUAAGAACCUCUUCAAGGAACUUCCUCCAGGCUUCCCCAGGAAUGACUAAAGAGCAACAGGAAAAUAUAAAAGCUGCCAGGAAUUUCUUCUAAUGAAUUGGUUCCACCUGUGCAACAACCUUUAAAUGGCAAAAUGUCCAAAGUGUUUGGAUUUACUGAGAAGUGCUAACUACAGGACGCACAUUUUUAAAAAGAAACUAACUUCCUCCAACUGGCUAAUCCAAGAUGCAGUCGUUCUGGCAGAUACAGAUGAGUUUUCACACACAACAUGAGAAAGAUCUGCUGUUCAUGAUGACACUGAUGCUCAGAUGGAUUUGAGUCACAUGUAGAGUUAGUAUUUCCAUGUCACAUGAAAUAAAGACAGCACUUAUUUAAAAUGACAUCCUAUUAAACUCAGCAUAUGUUUGUCAUCAGGGUCUGUUUUGAAAGAUUAAAUGAGGUCUAAUUUUA